UACGGGGGGGGUAAGCGUUGUUCGGAAUUACUGGGCGUAAAGGGCUCGUAGGCGGCCAACUAAGUCAGACGUGAAAUCCCUCAGCUUAACUGGGAACUGCGUCUGAUACUGGAUGGCUUGGAUCCGGGAGAGGGAUGCGGAAUUCCAGGUGUAGCGGUGAAAUGCGUAGAUAUCUGGAGGAACACCGGUGGCGAAGGCGGCAUCCUGGACCGGUAUUGACGCUGAGGAGCGAAAGCCAGGGGAGCAAACGGG
rnacentral:rRNA from 1 species